UCCAUUCUGAAUUUCUGAUCUCUAUUAUUUGUUCUUCAUUUUUUUCCUUCUACUUUGUGCGAAAUAUCAGAUCUAUUCUCUAUGAUUCUUGAUUCGAGGUUUGUUUCAUUAGAUCCGGUCGCACAGUUUCACGAUCUUCGAUUUGAUAUCAGGUUGUCGAUGAGAGGAUUAACGCCUUCUGAUGCAUAUAUAUGAAAGGCCUUAGACGGAAAGAUCCGGUAGUUUUGCAGGGGGUUUGCAUAUAUUUGUGGAUUUCUAUCUUCUUUGCGAUGGUGAACCAUUUGAUCUCGUUCGUAGUCCCUGUUCUUGACCUUGAGACAAUCGUGGGAAUAAAUUAGACGUCUAUGAUGUUAUGAGGUAGCGAUCUCGGAUUGGAAGGUGGUUUGUGUUUGAAAGGAUGUGUAAGAUAUCAGGGCAAAUGGUCCUGAUCUAUCUUUGUCAUCCAAGACCUUUGCCAUGACAGGUGCGCUUGCAUGGCAGGUCACCGAACUUAAUAAAAAAAUAUUUAUUUGGUGUUUCGGAGGGAGUUCGCACGGGGGUUGCCCGGGUUCUCCCCUCUGCUGUGGUGUCUCGUCUCUCUUUACUCCCCUACCCUUUACGCUUUCCUAUUAUUUUCUCAAUUCAUAUACGCUGUACCAUACUGGAUCGACGCAUGGUCCCACAUCAUCAUCAGCACCAUCAUCAACUUGGAUUUAGCUCUGUUCUCCACGAUAUUCAUCAUCAACUACUUACGAAUCUCAAAGCCAAGGUAUUUGUUUACAUAUUUAAAACCAAAAGUUGCAUAUCUGCUUUAAAAUAUAGAAAUUUCCUACUUUUAUCGUUCACUAUAUACCUAACUGGGUAAGUCUGCUAGUUGAUACAUUUAAACAUGGAUAUAACCAUUAAUAUAUUUUAGUUAUUAAUCGUGCUUUUAGAAACAUAACCAAAAAUUGAUUUAACAAAUCAUUCAAAAUUUGUAUGCUUGUACGUGGCUUAAGAUUUUUUAAUUUCUUCAAGCAUUUAUGUUACUAGAUUUUGACAUAUUUUAGAAGUGACUUUUUAAUUAUAUGCCCUUUUUUAUAAAUCUUUCUAUUUAUUUGAUUUAAUAAAUGUUUUCCUACCAAAAUUACAUUCUUCGAGAACUUUACUUUUAAAAAUCAUAAUCUUCAUAUAUAAUCAUAUUAUUUUUAAAUUUCUUGGUAAACUAACUAAAAACUAUUGUUUUUUGAUAUUAAAUGUCAAACAAUUGUUUCUUAAAUAUUUUGAUUAUGUUAUAUUGGUAAGCUAAAACUCAUGUUUCUCAAGUAUUUUGGUUCUUUGGUUUUGAUUUGGUAUUUGAGAAGCUGACAUGCCUUUCUUAAUUCACUUUUAUAUAAAGAAAUGGAUCAAACGCACGUUUAAAUGGUUAUGGUGUUAACACUCGAUGUACAGUUGAAACCCUUAGUAAAAUUUCCCGACGACUCCAUUUUGGCCAAUGUUAUAAAUUUUUCCACCAUUAGAUUGCAUCUUCUGAAUCAACCCUUAAUUUAUCAGCCAUUCAUCAUUUCCAAAUGUUAUUUAUUGGUAUUGUUCUCUCGCCUCUGCAAUUUUUUAUGAUGGUUAUUUUAUCUGAAUGGACAUAUUAAGCGUCAGUGUGUUUAAUCGAACUGUGUACUCUUAGGUUAGUUUUGGUUGUAGUUUCACGGUAGCAUAUGUACAAUUCUUGUAUUGCUGUUUGUAGUUGUACAGGCCCUUGUUUGGGCCUCUGUUUGACAUUGGGUUGAAGGUUGGAGAUCAUUCAUUGGCCAUGGAAGAUAUUGGUGAAAGACAUAUACGUAGAAGCGAAUGAUGUUCUGUUAACUGCAUAUCUCAUCUUUGAACAUUGGAAAGAAAGCACUGUAAGCGGUUUGCCAACUUUCAAAAUAUACAUGGUGGCCGCCAUGUACUGCUGAUCUACUGGUUGAGAGAUUUCCCUCCAUUUUCUACUCCUAGAGGCAUUGGAGCCGCAUAAAUUGAAACCCAUCUUGAUUUUACAUGGUGCAGCGUUCUGGUGAGAAUUUAGUGUUGAAGAUUGAUGAUUACGGAGGUACAUUUGUCGAUGUGUAAUCAGUCCCUUUUACGUAGUGAAAAUUUUUCAGUGGACUUCGGUCCCGUGGUUUUUUCCCCCUUUAUAGGGUUUUCCACGUAUAUUUUGUCUCCUUUUUAUAUUA